AAAGGCACAGGGAUGAAAACGAGCACAGCUGUUGGGGGCUGAGCCUGGGAGCUCAGCCAUGUGACUGCCCAUGGGGUGGUGGAGUCUGGAGAAAUUUGCAACCUGUCCCCUACAUGUUCUGCCUCACGGAGCAGGGCUCUGAAAGAGGGAGAUGGUUCUUGCAGGGGCAUGAUUGGCAGAGAGAUUUUGUUUGGGGCUACACAGGUCUUGCUAACUUAGGUUUGUUCUGGGCUUGGUGAGCCUUAGGGCAAAGUCUCUAGAGCUGAGAGGGGGCUGUCUCUGGUGAAUGGGCCCCUGAAAGAGGGUCUUAGGUUUAGCAAACCCCUUGGAGAGUUAGUGGGGUCCCAGGAGGGGAGUUCUAGAGAGAGACCUUGGGCUCUGUGGCUGUUUCUUUAACCGUUUCCUGAGUGGCCACCUCCAAGCAAGUUCCCCAAGUCACCUCCCCUCUCUGGGCAUCUCUUUCUAGCACCUUUCUCUAGAGAUGAAAUAAUAGGACUAAGUAGUGACCUCCCUUGAGGAUGCUCCUUGUUCUAGUUUAGAGCAUCCCCCCUUUCUUCUCCCUCUUCCUUUUCCUUUCCUCCCCUAUCCCUCUGCCUCCCUGUCCCUAUCCC
rnacentral:lncRNA from 1 species